rnacentral:rRNA from 1 species
UCGAGAAUCAUUCGCAAUGGGCGAAAGCCUGACGAUGCGACGCCGUGUGAGCGAAGAAGGCCUUCGGGUUGUAAAGCUCUUUCGCUUGGGAACAAGACGAGGCAGAUAACACCUGCCGAGUUUGAGGGUACUAGGUAAAGAAGCACCGGCUAACUACGUGCCAGCAGCUGCGGUAAUACGUAGGGUGCAAGCAUUAAUCGGAGUUAUUGGGCGUAAAGGGCGCGUAGGCGGUUUUGUAAGUCUCGAUGUGAAAUUCCUGGGCUCAACCUAGGAGCUGCAUGGGAAACUACAAAACUCGAGGAUGGACGGAGAGAACGGAAUUCCACAAGUAGCGGUGAAAUGCGUAGAUAUGUGGAAGAACACCUGUGGCGAAGGCGGUUCUCUAGUUUAUUCCUGACGCUGAGGCGCGAAAGCAAGGGGAGCAAACAGGAUUAGAUACCCCCGUAGUCC